rnacentral:lncRNA from 1 species
CUUGACUUUUGGACUUUGAAAUCACAUUUAAGAAGAUUAAAAAAAAAAAAAGUGGGAGGGCCCAUUAAAAUGUGAAGAGAAAGGACUUGUGGGGAGAUUUCUUUGCCGUGAUUCUCCCUACAGUGGAGAAGUUUACUAUUUACUUCUCAAGUCUAACAAGGGAAAUACACAUGGAGUCAUCCAGGAAGUUUUGAAAUGUGUUCUUUGCAGUUAGAAAAGCUACAGGAAUCUGACAUGAGAAAGCUAAAGUAAGCUGUGGUUGUGAGAUAGAUAGAGCGUUUGGGGUCAGCUUGUACAAAGAAUAACCUAAAACCACAUGUGUAUAUAUUUCAGUGGUUAUGAAAAAUAGAGAGCUGGCACUGGGUUGCCUUGGUUUUUUAAAAAUAUUUAUUUUUAUUUAAUUGUAAUUGGACACAAUACCUUUAUUUUUUUAUUCUUAUGUGGUGCUGAGGAUAGAACCCAGGGCCU